rnacentral:rRNA from 1 species
CCUACGGGUGGCAGCAGUGGGGAAUAUUGCGCAAUGGGCGAAAGUCUGACGCAGCGACGCCGCGUGAGGGAUGAAGGUCUUCGGAUCGGAAAACUGUGUUUGCAGGGAAGUACGGUCACUGUGGUAAUCAGUAGUGAAUUUACGGCACCAGCAAUGGAAGCAUCGUCUAACGCCGUCCCAGCAGCCGCUGCAAUACGGAGGGUCCGAGAGUUAAUCGGAAGUACUGGGCGUAAGGCGCUCGUAGGCGGUCUGUCAAGUGAAGGGUGAAAUCCCCGCGCUCAACGUGGGAACUGCCUUUGGAACUGGCAAACUGGAGUGUGUGAGAGGAUAGUGGAAUUCCAGGUGUAGGAGUGAAAUCCGUAGAUAUCUGGAGGAACAUCAGUGGCGAAGGCGACUAUCUGGCACAUAACUGACGCUGAGGAGCGAAGGCGUGGGUAGCAAACAGGAUUAGAUACCCUUGUAGUC